UCCCCUGAUGAUCACAACCAUACAUUACUUUUUUCUGGUACCUCUUAUGUUAGGACUCGCAAGAGUCCCAUGAAUUUAAAGGACUUCUGACC
rfam:Magnaporthe oryzae 70-15 chromosome 5, whole genome shotgun sequence.